AACAAACGCUGGCGGCGUGCCUAAUACAUGCAAGUCGAACGGGGAAAGCUUUCGGGUGAGUACUAGUGGCGCACGGGUGUGGAACGCGUGGAUAAUCUGCCUUAGAGUGGGGGAUAACUAGUCGAAAGAUUAGCUAAUACCGCAUAAGACCACAGGAGCUGCGGCCCAAGGGGUCAAAGGUUUUUCGCUCUAAGAUGAGUCCGCGUAAGAUUAGCUAGUUGGUGAGGUAACGGCUCACCAAGGCGACGAUCUUUAACUGGUCUGAGAGGAUGAUCAGUCACACUGGAACUGAGACACGGUCCAGACUCCUACGGGAGGCAGCAGUAGGGAAUAUUGCACAAUGGAGGAAACUCUGAUGCAGCGACGCCGCGUGAGUGAUGAAGGCCUUCGGGUCGUAAAGCUCUGUCGCAGGGGAAUAACACAAUGAAUGUACCCUGUAAGAAAGGAUCGGCUAACUUCGUGCCAGCAGCCGCAGUAACAC
rnacentral:rRNA from 1 species